UACGUAGGUGGCAAGCGUUGUUCGGAUUUACUGGGCGUAAAGGGCGCGUAGGCGGCUUAACAAGUCACUUGUGAAAUCUCCGGGCUUAACUCGGAACGGCCAAGUGAAACUGUCAAGCUAGAGUGCAGAAGGGGCAAUCGGAAUUCUUGGUGUAGCGGUGAAAUGCGUAGAUAUCAAGAGGAACACCUGAGGUGAAGACGGGUUGCUGGGCUGACACUGACGCUGAGGCGCGAAAGCCAGGGGAGCAAACGGG
rnacentral:rRNA from 1 species